rnacentral:rRNA from 1 species
UACAGAGGUCCCGAGCGUUGUUCGGAUUCACUGGGCGUAAAGGGUGCGUAGGUGGUGAGGUAAGACAGAUGUGAAAUCCCCGGGCUCAACCUGGGAACUGCAUUUGUGACUGCACGGCUGGAGUGCGGCAGAGGGGGAUGGAAUUCCGCGUGUAGCAGUGAAAUGCGUAGAUAUGCGGAGGAACACCGAUGGCGAAGGCAAUCCCCUGGGCCUGCACUGACGCUCAUGCACGAAAGCGUGGGGAGCAAACAGG